rnacentral:rRNA from 1 species
AGUCGGACGGUAACAGGGAUUGCUUGCAAUCCGCUGACGAGUGGCGCACGGGUGCGCAACGCGUAUAGAACCUACCCUUUACAGGGGGAUAGCCCAGAGAAAUUUGGAUUAAUACCCCGUAGUACCUAUUAGAGGCAUUUCUAAUAGGUUAUAGUUUUCGAACGGUAAAGGAUGGCUAUGCGUCUUAUUAGCUAGUAGGUAAGGUAACGGCUUACCUAGGCUACGAUAAGUAGGGGCCCUGAGAGGGGGAUCCCCCACACUGGUACUGAGACACGGACCAGACUCCUACGGGAGGCAGCAGUGAGGAAUAUUGGACAAUGGGCGGAAGCCUGAUCCAGCCAUGCCGCGUGCAGGAAGACGGCCCUAUGGGUUGUAAACUGCUUUUAUACGGGAAGAAUAAGGGAUACGUGUAUCCUGGUGACGGUACCGUAAGAAUAAGGACCGGCUAACUCCGUGCCAGCAGCCGCGGUAAUACGGAGGGUCCGAGCGUUAUCCGGAAUUAUUGGGUUUAAAGGGUCCGCAGGCGGGCAAUUAAGUCAGAGGUGAAAUGGUGCGGCUCAACCGUAGCACUGCCUUUGAUACUGGUUGUCUUGAGUCAUGGUGGAGUGGCCGGAAUAUGUAGUGUAGCGGUGAAAUGCAUAGAUAUUACAUAGAACACCGAUCGCGAAGGCAGGUCACUAACCAUGUACUGACGCUGAUGGACGAAAGCGUGGGGAGCGAACGGGAUUAGAUACCCCGGUAGUCCACGCCGUAAACGAUGGAUACUAGCUGUCCGCUGCCUUGAGCAGUGGGCGGCCAAGCGAAAGUGAUAAGUAUCCCACCUGGGGAGUACGUUCGCAAGAAUGAAACUCAAAGGAAUUGACGGGGGCCCGCACAAGCGGUGGAGCAUGUGGUUUAAUUCGAUGAUACGCGAGGAACCUUACCAGGGCUUAAAUGCAGAAUGACAGGUUUAGAGAUAGACUUUUCUUCGGACAUUUUGCAAGGUGCUGCAUGG